rnacentral:rRNA from 1 species
GACGAACGCUGGCGGCGUGCUUAACACAUGCAAGUCGAACGGAAAGGCCCUGCUUUUGUGGGGUGCUCGAGUGGCGAACGGGUGAGUAACACGUGAGUAACCUGCCCUUGACUUUGGGAUAACUUCAGGAAACUGGGGCUAAUACCGGAUAGGAGCUCCUGCUGCAUGGUGGGGGUUGGAAAGUUUCGGCGGUUGGGGAUGGACUCGCGGCUUAUCAGCUUGUUGGUGGGGUAGUGGCUUACCAAGGCUUUGACGGGUAGCCGGCCUGAGAGGGUGACCGGCCACAUUGGGACUGAGAUACGGCCCAGACUCCUACGGGAGGCAGAAGUGGGGAAUAUUGCACAAUGGGCGGAAGCCUGAUGCAGCAACGCCGCGUGCGGGAUGACGGCCUUCGGGUUGUAACCCGUUUUCGCCUGUGACGAAGCGUGAGUGACGGUAAUGGGUAAAGAAGCACCGGCUAACUACGUG